rnacentral:miRNA from 1 species
ACAGCGGCGCCGAAGGAGCCUCGGUUGGCCUCUGAUAGCCGGGUCCCUGUCCGUCCCCGC